UCAGAACCUGUCCUGCAGCAUGCUGCACUCACCACAGGGCUGUUUGGGAAAUACCAGGAAGAGCUUCAACCUGUGGCUGGCAGCUGAACCCUUGGAGCACAAGACACGCAGCACGCCUUGUCAUCCUGAUCGAGGAAGGACAUCACAAUGAGCACUUUAAAGAGGUUUCUUGACAAGAACUUGGGACUGGCCAUCACUCUCUUUUUGGAUGCAAUUUCAUCUUGGUUCUCAAGCAAUAUGUUAUUCUGGUGUUGAGUCUCUACAGAUUUCCCCACCUCAUCAACUGGCAGUGGAAUCAGCACUGAUCUUACUGUGCAUGCUUAUUGUGUGUGCACUUCUAUUUAGGGAUCAAAAUUAAAAAAGAAAGAAAACUUCUAAAACAACUACUGCCACCUAGUGUCGUAGCAAACUCAGAAAACCCCGGACAGGCGGCUCAAGCUCUUCCCACUGGAAAAAUCCUUGGCGGUAAAUCCAAUUUCCGUUGAUUUCAAUUGGCACUGACUUCCUCAGAUGUUAAUAUUACAGCUUGUGUAGCAAAAGCUGUAGAUUUUCCUUCCCUAUAUCCAGGGAAAUAGUUUUACACAGAAUACCUGAGAAUCUGUGUGUGUACCAUUGAGGUGAUGACAGAUAAUUUAAUUGUAUUCUGCAGUUUUACACUAAUGCAGAUGGGGAUACUAUGUGGCAGGCUGGGGUAGGGUGUGAUAGUGGUGUCAAAAGUGAAGAAAUGUGUCCACUGGCUCAUCAUGUGCCAGCUGCAGAAAGCUGUCUCCCAGCAAAACCUUUAAGACAUACUUGCCAUACUGAGAUAAAUAUCACCAUUCAUUAACAUAUUUUAAAGGAUUGUAAUGAGUAUUUUAUACCUUAUUUUCUUACGGUAGAAAAUCCUUAAACUAGAUCUUAGCAGAAGGAAUUUGUGUUGCAGCGUUCUCUUCAGAAUGAUCCAACUCCUAAUGAUCCUUUGUGUUGAAUAAAAACUAUUAUGAGAUGAGGCA